CAGGAAAGGACUUGGGAAGUACCUCGGAGCGCCAGGCGGGCGGCGCGGCCUGUGAUUGGCUGCACGGCGCACACAACGCAUCGCAGCCCCGCCCUUUCCUGCGAUUUGAAAUCCGUCAACCUCAACUCACGCAACUCUCUCAACUCACCCACUGCCUCAGCCUACUUCCUCGCUCCUUACUACGCCGUGCGUGACUAGUGUCUCGGCUGAUUCCUCUCCUCAUCUCCGUUCUUCCUCUCUGUUUGCUUUUUCUCCCUGUGCCCUCCUCAUCCCCAACUCCCACCUCCCACCCACUGAACUUUCUCAAACUUCCGCUUUCUCACAGGUCGAGUGAGCGCUCGAUUCUGUCUUGUGUGUUCUUCCACUGAUCUUCACUCUGACAGAAUCAAAGCGAACCGAUAGUAUACCAGACUAAAGAAGAAAAAAAAGACAAAAAACAACCGGCAAAAAAUUUCUUAUCGCACAACCCCGCCUCUAGGGCUUUUUUGAUCAAGCAAAUCCGUCAAGAUGGUCAACUUCACCGUCGAGGAGAUCCGUCAAUUGAUGGACCGUCCGGCCAACAUCCGGAAUAUGUCCGUCAUUGCUCACGUCGAUCACGGUAAAUCCACUUUGACCGACUCUCUGGUCCAGCGUGCUGGUAUUAUCUCUGCUGCAAAGGCUGGCGAGGCCCGUUUCACAGACACCCGUCAGGACGAGCAGGAUCGCUGUAUCACCAUCAAGUCUACUGCCAUCUCCCUCUAUGCCCACCUACCGGAUCCGGACGAUCUCAAGGAUAUCCCCCAAAAAGUGGACGGAAAUGAAUUCUUGAUCAACUUGAUCGAUUCCCCCGGCCACGUUGACUUCUCUUCUGAGGUCACUGCCGCCCUGCGUGUCACUGACGGUGCUCUCGUUGUCGUCGACUGUGUCUCUGGCGUCUGUGUCCAGACCGAGACUGUCCUCCGACAGGCCCUUGGUGAGCGUAUCAAGCCCGUCUGUAUCAUCAACAAGGUGGACCGUGCCCUCCUUGAGCUGCAAGUUACCAAGGAAGACUUGUACCAGUCAUUCUCGAGAACAAUCGAGUCCGUCAACGUUAUUAUCGCGACCUACUUCGACAAGGCACUUGGUGACGUCCAGGUCUACCCUUACAAGGGAACUGUUGCUUUCGGGUCUGGUCUUCAUGGAUGGGCUUUCACUGUGAGGCAGUUCGCUGCCAGGUAUGCCAAGAAAUUCGGUGUUGACCGUAACAAGAUGAUGGAGCGUCUCUGGGGCGAUAACUACUUCAACCCCAAGACCAAGAAGUGGACCAAGGUUGGUGAACUCGAUGGCAAGCCUCUUGAGCGUGCUUUCUGCCAGUUCAUCCUCGACCCCAUCUUCAAGAUCUUCAAUGCUAUCACCCAUGCCAAGAAGGAGGAGAUCAACACCCUCGUCGAGAAGCUUGAUAUCAAGCUUACCUCUGAAGAGAAAGAGUUAGAAGGCAAGCCUCUUCUCAAAAUUGUAAUGAAGAAGUUCCUGCCGGCCGCCGAUGCCCUGAUGGAAAUGAUGGUGUUGCAUCUCCCUUCCCCAGUCACUGCCCAGAAAUACCGCGCCGAAACUCUGUACGAAGGUCCCCCCGAUGACGAUGUUUGCAUUGGUAUUCGCGACUGCGACCCUAAGGCCCCUCUCAUGCUUUACGUCUCGAAAAUGGUGCCGACCUCUGAUAAGGGCCGUUUCUACGCCUUCGGCCGUGUCUUCGCUGGUACCGUCCGCUCUGGUCUCAAAGUCCGCAUCCAGGGCCCCAACUACACUCCUGGCCGCAAGGAAGAUCUGUUCAUCAAGGCUAUCCAGCGGACCAUUCUCAUGAUGGGCCGCUUCAUCGAGCCAAUUGAGGAUGUGCCUGCUGGUAACAUUCUUGGAUUGGUCGGCGUCGAUCAGUUCUUGCUCAAGUCUGGUACCCUCACCACCUCUGAGACUGCCCACAACCUCAAGGUCAUGAAAUUCUCCGUCUCCCCCGUCGUACAGCGCUCCGUCGAAGUCAAGAAUGCCAACGACUUGCCCAAGCUUGUCGAAGGUCUCAAACGUCUGUCCAAGUCUGAUCCGUGCGUCCUGACGUACAUAUCCGAGUCUGGCGAGCACGUCGUCGCCGGUGCUGGUGAAUUGCAUUUGGAAAUUUGCUUGAAAGAUCUGGAAGAAGACCACGCCGGUGUUCCCCUCCGUGUUUCCGACCCUGUCGUUUCCUACCGUGAGACUGUCGGUAGUACCUCCAGCAUAACCGCUCUCUCCAAGUCCCCCAACAAACACAACCGUCUCUACAUGACCGCACAGCCCUUAGAGGAGGAUGUCUCCCGUGACAUCGAGAACGGCAAGAUCGGCCCGCGCGAUGACUUCAAAGCCCGUGCCCGUAUCCUCGCCGAUGAGCACGGCUGGGACGUCACCGACGCCCGCAAAAUCUGGUGUUUCGGCCCCGACACCACUGGCGCCAACUUGCUCGUCGACCAAACCAAAGCUGUUCAAUAUCUCAACGAAAUCAAGGACUCCGUCGUCUCCGGCUUCCAAUGGGCAACUCGCGAGGGUCCCAUUGCUGACGAACCAAUGCGCUCCGUCCGCUUCAACAUUCUCGACGUCACCUUACAUGCUGACGCUAUCCACCGCGGCGGUGGACAGAUCAUCCCCACCGCACGCCGUGUCCUGUACGCAGCAACUCUCCUCGCAGAACCAGGAAUUCUCGAACCCGUCUUCCUGGUCGAGAUCCAAGUGCCCGAACAGGCUAUGGGUGGCAUCUACGGCGUCCUCACUCGGCGCCGUGGCCACGUGUUUUUCGAAGAGCAGAGACCGGGCACCCCGCUGUUCACAGUCAAAGCAUACCUGCCCGUCAACGAAUCGUUCGGCUUCCCUGCGGACUUGCGCAGUGCGACUGGUGGACAAGCGUUCCCGCAAUCCGUCUUCGAUCACUGGCAGAUCUUGCCUGGUGGGUCUCCGUUGGAUGUUACCACGAAGCCUGGACAGGUUGUUACCGAGAUGCGGAAGAGGAAGGGUAUUAAGGAGGUUGUUCCUGGUGUUGAGAAUUAUUACGACAAAUUGUAAAAAAGGGUCGAAUUUCACAUCCUCGCUUCCACGAAAUGAGGACGAAUAAUAGAAAAUUAGCACUACUAACGGGAGGAGGCAACGAAGAAAGAAAAACGAUGUUAAUGAUAUCCCCAACCUUGACUUGCCACUCGGCCCUCACGCCCUCCCCCUGACUUGUCUUUUUCCUAACGAAAUUCGACGACUUUUCAAACGAACAGGAAAUAAAAUUAAAAUAAAACUGCCAAAUAUUGACUGCGUUUGUGUUCUAUGUGUGUUUGUUAAUUGACCUUUCUUUUAUUUUCUUCACUACUGUUCGUUUUCAUUUUCAUUUUUAUGUUUACUGAAUGUUUCAUUGUCUGUUUUUUCUAUUUCAAUUAAUAAGUUGUAGAAGAAAACAAAAAUAAAAUAAAAUAAAAUAGGAGCUUUUGUUUAAAAUAAUAGUAAACACUUCGUUUCGUACUUGCA
rnacentral:sRNA from 2 species